AGCUGAAGCUGGCUGAUCUGUUACUGUGGGAGCAUUUAGGUGAAAUUCAAAGAACUGAGAAACUCUUACCUUCACAUGUUACUGGUCAGAGGUCACAGUGAACACCUUCAUAUGUUGUUGGUCUGACUAAAUCUCCUGUGCUGCCACCUGCUGGUGAAGAACUGUCAGAACGCUUCCUACACCAGUCACAUUAAGCACCUUUUGAAUUAUUACUUUGAUGAUAAUCAGACAAGUUACUGAAAAGCUGUUGUACUCUAAAAGCCAACAAGGGGA